AGUGAACGCUGGCGGCGUGCCUAAUACAUGCAAGUCGAACGGACGAGUAAGAGCUUGCUCUUAUGAGUUAGUGGCGCACGGGUGAGUAAUGUAUAGCUAAUCUGCCCUACACUAGAGGACAACAGUUGGAAACGACUGCUAAUACUCUAUACUCCUCUCUAGCAUAAGUUAGAUAGGGAAAGUUUUCGGUGUAGGAUGAGGCUAUAUUGUAUCAGCUAGUUGGUGAGGUAAUGGCUCACCGAGGCUAUGACGCAUAACUGGUCUGAGAGGAUGAUCAGUCACACUGGAACUGAGACACGGUCCAGACUCCUACGGGAGGCAGCAGUAGGGAAUAUUGCUCAAUGGGGGAAACCCUGAAGCAGCAACGCCGCGUGGAGGAUGACACUUUUCGGAGCGUAAACUCCUUUUGUUAGGGAAGAACAAUGACGGUACCUAACGAAUAAGCACCGGCUAACUCCGUGCCAGCAGCCGCGGUAAUACGGAGGGUGCAAGCGUUACUCGGAAUCACUGGGCGUAAAGGACGCGUAGGCGGAUUAUCAAGUCUCUUGUGAAAUCCUAUGGCUUAACCAUAGAACUGCUUGGGAAACUGAUAAUCUAGAGUGAGGGAGAGGCAGAUGGAAUUGGUGGUGUAGGGGUAAAAUCCGUAGAGAUCACCAGGAAUACCCAUUGCGAAGGCGAUCUGCUGGAACUCAACUGACGCUAUGCGUGAAAGCGUGGGGAGCAAACAGGGUUAGAUACCCUGGUAGUCCAAGGGCGAAUUCCACAGUGGAUAUCAAGCUUAUCGAUACCGUCGACCUCGAGGGGGGGCCCGGUAAACAACUUUUGUUCCCUUUAGUGAGGGUUAAUUAG
rnacentral:rRNA from 1 species